UAAAAAGUGGCAUUAAGGCCAUUAGAGUUUACAGCCCGUAUAUGAUAAACCCAUUACACAAUAUAAUUGAACCCAUAUGUUAGAAGCCCAGCCCAUUCCUUUGAGUAGUGGAAAACGAUGGAUGGUGAGUGGUGACGAAGAGAAGAAAUCAGCCGAGAGAGAUCCAUAGCUGCAUGAUGUCGCUUCUUGUUGCUGGGUUCUCAGAUCGGAAAGUUGAGAUCCUGUUUUUGAUGGUGAAUUGUAUGCUGCAGAUGAUCGAGUCCGGAGAUUUGUUGAUAUUCCGAUGAAGUCGAUAGUUUCUUUCUCGCCAUAUCUCAUAGAUUGUGAUUUUCCAAGCAAAGAGCAGGAGGUAACGAAGCUUUGGAUUGCCUGAGAAGUCGAGAAAUGAGAAUCUCGUCGAGGAGAUUAAACCAAAUGAACGAAGUCGGCUGACUAAGGAUCCUUGAAGAAAGUUGGGACCAAAUCAAUUUGGAGAAGGCACAAAAGAAAAAAAGUUCUUACAUGGUGGAGGUUAGCUUUUCUCCUGUACCAAUGCACUUCGAUGGUGUUCCCUCCUUUGCUGAAGCAUAACCACAUGUAGAGGCUGCACUUUACAACUAUGCUAUUUAGACAUAUCUGGCUAAGAAAUAGGUUAUCUUGAUCGAAUUUAUAAUUAUACCUGAUGGAUAACACACAUGUAAAUGGCUCCUGCAACACAUCUUUCUCUCUCUCCAGCUUCGUCCUUGCAGUCCCCUUUGGACCCGAAACAAAAAAAAUGUGGAAUGUUGAUAUAGUGAAGCGGAGAAGACCAGUGGUUGGUAUCUAAACUUGACACGAUCAGCCCAAAGACAGAAGCUCGACAAAUCCCGUUCUACAGAUUCAGAGAGUUGCAUUGUGUGUUCGAUGAUGUUAUGAGAGACUAACUCUGAACCGACUACAAUCCGAACUAAACACAAACAAGUGAACAUGACUUCACAAGAACAAACCAAAGUUUCAAAGAUUGCGAUUUCAAAACCUUCCCGAGCUGACCAAGACCAAACGGGAGCGUUUGCAUUCGUGUUGCAACUUGCAAAGAGUGAACACUUGGUGGAGUCACGAUGCACCGCCAGUGGUACGGUAAAAAUGCAAACGAAAGCUGUAAUGGUGUUCAAGCUUGACGAACAAGGCAACACAGUUCACACUCAAGACAUUGAAGACCUCUGUAUUUUCCUCUCAAAGUCUGAACCUUUUUGUGUCGCUACUAGCUCAUUCCCUGGUAUGUACUCUAACAGUGGCGAAGUCUUGGAUGCGACGGAAAAACCUUUGUUUGUCUGCGUUAUUCCUCCACCAUUGGUAGAAAUUAUAUGUGUGUAGCCGCUUCUUACCAUAUUCCACCUCAAAAUAUAGACUAGUAGCUUGGAACUGAAAGUCUUUAGUCAUGCAUUCACAAGUAGAUUUCACUAUUACCAGUUCAUAGCUAAUUGGAUUGGUGCAUGUUGUUGUUGUUCCAGUAGUUUUGAACAUUUUUGAGAUAAUAUUGGAUUUGUCACUUCACUUUGAAAGUCGUUUUGUUGGCUUUCAUAGGCCUUUGGUUUGGGAUAUCUGAUUGAAUCAAAGAAUAGGUGUUGUUAAGGAAAAACCAACCGAUGAUCUCGCUCCUCUCUCUCUCUAAUCUCGAACAGAAAGAAACUGAGCAUGAUGGUACUGAGGAUGAGUUGGUGGAAAUUAGUGUUGCUCAAGGUGUGAUUUCGGGGAAGGAUGCUUUUGAGAGAGUCAAGCUUAUUGGUGAUGACAAGGCUAAAGAGUUGAAUAAUUGCUUUGUGUAUUAAGGAGCAGCCAGAUGCUUGAGCUACUUGCUUAUACCAUGAAACCUGAAUUUUGAGGAUUAUUUCAUGGUUUGUUUUAGUCUGUUGACAACUUUGAUUUUGAUGUGUAGUUUAUGUUGGUAUUGGUGGAACCUUAAUGUGUUGGUUCAUCUUUAUGAAUGUGAAAGAUUUUAUGGAAGAAGAAGAUAACAUUAUA